rnacentral:rRNA from 1 species
GAUCGGCCCGCGUCUGAUUAGCUAGUUGGUGAGGUAAUGGCUCACCAAGGCGACUAUCGGUAGCUGGUCUGAGAGGAUGAUCAGCCUCACUGGGACUGAGACACGGCCCAGACUCCUACAGGAGGCAGCAGUGGGGAAUAUUGGACAAUGGGCGCAAGCCUGAUCCAGCCAUGCCGCGUGGGUGAUGAAGGCCUUAGGGUAGUAAAGCCCUUUCGGCGGGGAAGAUAAUGACGGUACCCGCAGAAGAAGCCCCGGCUAACUUCGUGCCAGCAGCCGCGGUAAUACGAAGGGGGCUAGCGUUGCUCGGAAUCACUGGGCGUAAAGCGCACGUAGGCGGAUCUUUAAGUCAGGGGUGAAAUCCUGGGGCUCAACCCCAGAACUGCCUUUGAUACUGGAGAUCUAGAGUUCGGGAGAGGUGAGUGGAACUGCGAGUGUAAAGGUGAAAUUCGUAGAUAUUCGCAAGAACACCAGUGGCGAAGGCGGCUCACUGGCCCGAUACUGACGCUGAGGUGCGAAAGCGUGGGGAGCAAACAGGACUAGAUACCCUGGUAGUCCACGCCGUAAACGAUGGAUGCUAGCCGUUGGCGGGUUUACCCGUCAGUGGCGCCACUAACGCUUUAAGCAUCCCCGCCUGGGGAGU